UACUCCUCCCACAAGUUCAGGCCAAUUGGCCUUCCAACAUAUAAUAUAUAUAUAUAUAUAUAUAUAUAUAUAUAUAUAUAUAUAUAUAUAUAUAUAUGGCUUGGCCUGUAAUUGUGGGAGGCACC
rnacentral:miRNA from 1 species